rnacentral:rRNA from 1 species
AUUGAACGCUGGCGGCAUGCCUUACACAUGCAAGUCGAACGGCAGCACGGGAGCAAUCCUGGUGGCGAGUGGCGAACGGGUGAGUAAUACAUCGGAACGUGCCCAGGUUGUGGGGGAUAGCCCGGCGAAAGCCGGAUUAAUACCGCAUACGACCUACGGGUGAAAGCGGGGAUCGCAAGACCUCGCGCAAUUGGAGCGGC